rnacentral:rRNA from 1 species
GACAAGCUAUGAAGGGCACAUGGUGGAUGCCUUGGCAUCAAGAGCCGAUGAAGGACGUAGGAGCCUGCGAUAAGCCCUGGGGAGUUGGCAACCGAGCGUUGAUCCGGGGAUGUCCGAAUGGGGGAACCCAGCUGGAGUCAUGUCCAGUUACCUGCACCUGAAUAUAUAGGGUGUGUGGAGGGAACGCCGGGAAGUGAAACAUCUCAGUACCGGCAGGAAGAGAAAACAAAAGUGAUUCCGAGAGUAGUGGCGAGCGAAAUCGGAAGAGGCUAAACCUUAUGCGUGUGAUACCCGGCAGGGGUUGCGCAUGAGGGGUCGUGGGACUGUCUUGUUGAUUCUGCCGGAUCGACACAGAGUAAGAAAACGUUCGUGAAGUCGAAGUCUGUUGGAAAGCAGCGCCGUAGAGGGUGAUAGCCCCGUAUGCGUAAGCGUUCGUCUCUGGGACGGUAUCCCAAGUAACACGGAACCCCUGAAAUUCCGUGUGAAUCUGGCGGGACCACCCGUUAAGCCUAAAUACUCCUUGAUGACCGAUAGCGGACAAGUACCGUGAGGGAAAGGUGAAAAGUACCCCUGGCGGGGAGUGAAAUAGUACCUGAAACCGUGUGCCUACAAUCCGUCAGAGCCCGGCUGCCCCUUGUGGGUGUUGGGGUGAUGGCGUGCCUUUUGAAGAAUGAGCCUGCGAGUUUGCGUUGUGUUGCGAGGUUAACCCGUGUGGGGAAGCCGUAGCGAAAGCGAGUCCUAAUAGGGCGGUUGAGUAGCACGAUCAAGACCCGAAGCGAAGUGAUCUAUCCAUGGGCAGGUUGAAGCGCGGGUAAGACCGCGUGGAGGACCGAACCCACUUAGGUUGAAAACUGAGGGGAUGACCUGUGGAUAGGGGUGAAAGGCCAAUCAAACUUCGUGAUAGCUGGUUCUCCCCGAAAUGCAUUUAGGUGCAGCGUCGCGUGUUUCUUGCCGGAGGUAGAGCACUGGAUAGCCGAUGGGCCCUACAAGGUUACUGACGUUAGCCAAACUCCGAAUGCCGGUAAGUGAGAGCGCGGCAGUGAGACUGCGGGGGAUAAGCUCCGUAGUCGAGAGGGAAACAGCCCAGACCAUCAGCUAAGGCCCCUAAGCGGUGACUAAGUGGAAAAGGAUGUGGAGUCGCAUUGACAACCAGGAGGUUGGCUUGGAAGCAGCCACCCUUGAAAGAGUGCGUAAUAGCUCACUGGUCAAGUGAUUCCGCGCCGACAAUGUAGCGGGGCUCAAGUCAUCCGCCGAAGCUAUGGCAUUCACACAAUAACUAAGCUCUUGUGGUUCAGGUGUGUGGAUGGGUAGGGGAGCGUCGUGUCGGGAGUGAAGCUCCGGGGUGACCCAGGGGUGGAUCCGACACGAGUGAGAAUGCAGGCAUGAGUAGCGAAUCACGUGUGAGAAACACGUGCGCCGAAUGAUCAAGGGUUCCAGGGUCAAGCUAAUCUGCCCUGGGUAAGUCGGGACCUAAGGCGAGGCCGACAGGCGUAGUCGAUGGACAACGGGUUGAUAUUCCCGUACCGGCAAAGUAGCGCCCAUGACGAACCUGGUGAUGCUAACCACCCGAAACCACGUUUACUGAACCCUUCGGGGGGAUGGGAUGUGGCGGAGCGUGGGACCCGAGCUGGUAGUAGUCAAGCGAUGGGGUGACGCAGGAAGGUAGUCCAACCACGGCGAUGGUUGUCCGUGGCCAAGGAUGUAGGACGUCGGGUAGGCAAAUCCGUCCGGCUGUCUUUGAUGACGAGUCUGAGAUCUGAUGGGGACCCGUAUGGGGAAGUGGAUGAUCCUAUGCUGUCGAGAAAAACCUCUAGCGAGCUAUGCGCCGCCCGUACCCCAAACCGACUCAGGUGAUCAGGUAGAGAAUACCAAGGCGAUCGAGCGA